UACGUAGGGUGCGAGCGUUGUCCGGAAUUACUGGGCGUAAAGAGCUCGUAGGUGGUUUGUCGCGUUGUCCGUGAAAACUCACAACUCAAUUGUGGGCGUGCGGCGAUACGGGCAGACUGGAGUACUGCAGGGGAGACUGGAAUUCCUGGUGUAGCGGUGGAAUGCGCAGAUAUCAGGAGGAACACCGGUGGCGAAGGCGGGUCUCUGGCAGUAACUGACGCUGAGGAGCGAAAGCGUGGGGAGCGAACAGG
rnacentral:rRNA from 1 species